rnacentral:lncRNA from 1 species
GUGAAAUAUUCAUCAUCAGCAAAUCAAAUUCGAGUUAUAAAAACUACAUCUAAAUUUCAAGUGCUUUCCUCCAGUUUCCAAGAAAACAAAGCGAGAAGAAAAUGGCUUCCAACUCUGAGAAGGUGAGCUACCACGCUGGUGAGGCCAAGGGCCAAGCUGAGGUAAUUUUCUUCACCUAUUAUUCUCCAUUUUUUCCUGCAUUUUUUGUUGUUGAAUAUUACAUAAUUUAUGCGUGAAUGUGCAUUGAGAUUGAUGUAAUUUUUCAUUUAACAGGAGAAGGCGAGUGGGGUGAUGGAUAUGGCAAACAAUGCAGCCCAAUCUGCCAAGGAAACAAUGCAAGCGGCAGGCCAGAAUGUGCAGGCCGCGGCUAUAGGAGCUGCUGAUGCAGUCAAGAAUGCCACUGGCAUGAACAAAAAAUGAAGCUAGCUGCUCAUCAUGAUCUCAAUAUGAGCAUUUGCAGUUUUUUUUCUUUUUUUUUGGGAGCUUUCUAGUAGUUGCUUUUGAUUUCUGUCUUCUAAACAAGGGAGCUCUAAGUCCUCUGGAGUUCUCAUCAUCUGGGUGUGUACUUUCGUUCACACUUGGUUUUAGUUUUUGUUUUUGUUUUCUUUUUCUUUUUGUUCAUGUUUAUCUCCUUUGAACAAGGCAAGUGGGCUCUGCCUAUUGUAGUUCUCACCUAAUUGAAUCAUAAGCUGUUUUUAAUCCCAUCUAUAUGUUCAAGAUUGGUCUUUUGUUUAUGCAGAUGAGCAAAAUCCGACCUAAGAGUUUCUGAAAAU